rnacentral:rRNA from 1 species
CUAAUGUCAUUAAAACCAAGUUUGACAUGCUGCAGAACAUAAAGGCACUUGCGGUAACUAACAUAUACCAACUGAUCGGUUUUUGUUAGUUAGUCCCUUGGACUGCCCAUUUACUUCUCUGCUUUAUUGGAGCAAUGAGAAUUUUACAACAUGUUAGUAAUUUUCAAUUUCAACCAUGAUUACUCAAACCAGAUUUGCGCUACAGGUGGAGCUCAAGAGCAAUACACGUGGAGCUCAACGGAAGCAAAUGAGCUCAAAGGAACAUUUUAAAAUUAUUGAACAUUUUUCAGCUGGAAUACAUUAAAAUCAGAGAAACAGCCGAAAUAAAAACAGAGCUGAAGAGCUACACAAAAAAAUCUGGGUGCGACAAUCCGUGGGCUGCAUACUUGGCUGGGCUGUCCAUGCCCGCACGAGCCAGGGGCCUUGCUGCUCUUACCCUUCCUCCUCCGACGCUCAAAGAAAAAGAAAAGGGAAACAUUUCUCCACCAACCGUUGCCGGCGGCAGCCCUAUCCGCGGCGAAGUCGCCGGUGAAGUGGGCCGUCUGGCUGCAGGGCAUUGCCUCCCAUUCCUUGUGCCCAGUGCCACAUCUUUCCACCGCGCCCCAUCCAGCAGCCGCGCCGUCCCUAGUCGCUGGCCUUCUUCGGUUUGACCCCCUCAGUCCUCGUCGCUCGUCGGUGGAGGGAGAAGCAUGGCAGGUCAAGGAUGAGGACGGUGAUGAACCACGCGAACACCAGGCGCAGGCGGUUCAAUAGGCUCAGAGGCUGCUUGGAAUCUGCUCAAGACCUGGAUGUAUUUACUAACCAAAAUGUCUUAUUCACCAUGGCUCUGAUUCCUGUUCAACAGAGAAGGAUGGCCAGAGCCUCACUAUCUUGGGCUCUCUGGUCAAUAUCUAAAGAAUGCGGUCUAGGCAUCUUAAUAUAUCUGCAGCACUAAAGCAACAACAUCGACUUCACAUUGAUCAGUCAGACCCAGAAUCUUGAGUCAGCAACCAUCUUGGUGGUUGGGGGCAAGCUGAAGUUGACAGCGGAUGUCAGCUGCCUGGAAGCAGCUGGAGGUCUCCUUCACUACUCUCUGGUUUGCGUGCAAACGAGAGUGGCGAAAACCUUGUGAUCUUUGCGAAAAUCUCUGUUGAUUGGUAGCUUUCUUUUAACACAUUUUGUGGCGCCCGAUCCUAAGGUUGCAUGACUUGUUUGGUUGCGCUGUUGGUAGAAUUGAAUCUCGCAGCUGGUAUUAGCUGAUUGUAAUUCAAUUUCCGAGUACUGGUAUGUACUACUACUACCUUGUCUCUUACAAAUUAAUUGAAGUUCUAGUUCUGUUCAUUUUUUAGCCUGGUACUACUGUCAAGAGG